GAUGAACGCUGGCGGCGUGCCUAAUACAUGCAAGUCGAGCGAACAGAUGAGGAGCUUGCUCCUCUGACGUUAGCGGCGGACGGGUGAGUAACACGUGGAUAACCUACCUAUAAGACUGGGAUAACUUCGGGAAACCGGAGCUAAUACCGGAUAGUAUAUUGAACCGCAUGGUUCAAUAGUGAAAGACGGUUUUGCUGUCACUUAUAGAUGGAUCCGCGCCGCAUUAGCUAGUUGGUAAGGUAACGGCUUACCAAGGCAACGAUGCGUAGCCGACCUGAGAGGGUGAUCGGCCACACUGGAACUGAGACACGGUCCAGACUCCUACGGGAGGCAGCAGUAGGGAAUCUUCCGCAAUGGGCGAAAGCCUGACGGAGCAACGCCGCGUGAGUGAUGAAGGUCUUCGGAUCGUAAAACUCUGUUAUUAGGGAAGAACAAAUGUGUAAGUAACUAUGCACGUCUUGACGGUACCUAAUCAGAAAGCCACAGCUAACUACGUG
rnacentral:rRNA from 1 species